rnacentral:rRNA from 1 species
GACGUAGGAUGCAAGCGUUGUCCGGAUUUAUUGGGCGUAAAGAGUUCGUAGGUGGUUUGUUAAGUCUGAUGUUAAAGACUGGGGCUCAACCUCGGAAGUGCAUUGGAUACUGGCAGACUUGAGUGCAGUAGAGGCAAGCGGAAUUCCAGGUGUAGCGGUGAAAUGCGUAGAUAUCUGGAAGAACACCGGUGGCGCAAGCGGCUUGCUGGGCUGUAACUGACACUGAGGAACGAAAGCUAGGGUAGCGAAUGGG